rnacentral:rRNA from 1 species
CCUACGGGAGGCAGCAGUGGGGGAUAUUGCACAAUGGGGGGAACCCUGAUGCAGCGACGCCGCGUGGGUGAAGAAGCGCCUCGGCGCGUAAAGCCCUGUCAGCAGGGAAGAAAAUGACGGUACCUGAAGAAGAAGCCCCGGCUAACCACGUGCCAGCAGCCGCGGUAAUACGUCGGGGGCAAGCGUUAUCCGGAUUUACUGGGUGUAAAGGGGGCGCAGACGGCGAUGCAAGCCAGGAGUGAAAGCCCGGGGGCCAACCCCGGGACUGCUCUUGGAACUGCGUGGCUGGAGUGCAGGAGGGGCAGGCGGAAUUCCUGGUGUAGCGGUGAAAUGCGUAGAUAUCAGGAGGAACACCGGUGGCGAAGGCGGCCUGCUGGACUGCAACUGACGUUGAGGCCCGAAAGCGUGGGGAGCAAACAGGAUUAGAUACCCGAGUAGUC